AUGGGGCAUGGAGGAACUCUGACCCAGCGACGCCGCGUGCGGGAUGAAGGCCUUCGGGUUGUAAACCGCUUUCAGCAGGGAAGAAGCGAAAGUGACGGUACCUGCAGAAGAAGCACCGGCUAACUAUGUGCCAGCAGCCGCGGUAAUACGA
rnacentral:rRNA from 1 species